rnacentral:rRNA from 1 species
GACGAACGCUGGCGGCGUGCUUAACACAUGCAAGUCUAACGGAAAGUCCCUGCUUUUGUGGGGUGCUCGAGUGGCGAACGGGUGAGUAACACGUGAGUAACCUGCCCUUGACUUUGGGAUAACUUCAUGAAACUUGUGCUAAUACCGGAUAGUAGCUCCUGCUUCAUGGUUGGGGUUGGAAAGUUUCGGCGGUUGGGGAUGGACUCGCGGCUUAUCAGCUUGUUGGUGGGGUAGUGGCUUACCAAGGCUUUGACGGGUAGCCGGCCUGAGAGGGUGACCGGCCACAUUGGGACUGAGAUACGGCCCAGACUCCUACGGGAGGAAGCAGUGGGGAAUAUUGCACAAUGGGCGGAAGCCUGAUGCAGCAACGCAGCGUGCGGGAUGACGGCCUUCGGGUUGUAAACCGCGUUCGCCUGUGACGAAGCGUGAGUGACGGUAAUGGGUAAAGAAGCACCGGCUAAAUACGUG